UACGUAGGGUGCAAGCGUUGUCCGGAAUUAUUGGGCGUAAAGAGCUCGUAGGCGGUUUGUCGCGUCUGCUGUGAAAACCCGAGGCUCAACCUCGGGCCUGCAGUGGGUACGGGCAGACUAGAGUGCGGUAGGGGAGAUUGGAAUUCCUGGUGUAGCGGUGGAAUGCGCAGAUAUCAGGAGGAACACCAAUGGCGAAGGCAGCUCUCUGGUACGUGACUGACGCUGAGACGCGAAAGCGUGGGGAGCAAACAGG
rnacentral:rRNA from 1 species